AUUGAACGCUGGCGGCAUGCUUUACACAUGCAAGUCGAACGGUAACAGGCCGCAAGGUGCUGACGAGUGGCGAACGGGUGAGUAAUGCAUCGGAACGUGCCCAGUCGUGGGGGAUAACUGCUCGAAAGAGCAGCUAAUACCGCAUACGAUCUAUGGAUGAAAGCGGGGGACCGGAAGGCCUCGCGCGAUUGGAGCGGCCGAUGUCAGAUUAGGUAGUUGGUGGGGUAAAGGCUCACCAAGCCAACGAUCUGUAGCUGGUCUGAGAGGACGACCAGCCACACUGGGACUGAGACACGGCCCAGACUCCUACGGGAGGCAGCAGUGGGGAAUUUUGGACAAUGGGGGCAACCCUGAUCCAGCAAUGCCGCGUGCAGGAAGAAGGCCUUCGGGUUGUAAACUGCUUUUGUACGGAACGAAACGGUCUGGGUUAAUACCCUGGGCUAAUGACGGUACUGUAAGAAUAAGCACCGGCUAACUACGUGCCAGCAGCCGCGGUAACAC
rnacentral:rRNA from 1 species